GUGGGGAAUAUUGGACAAUGGGGGCCACCCUGAUCCAGCCAUGCCGCGUGAAUGAUGAAGGCCUUCGGGUUGUAAAGUUCUUUUGGAGGGGACGAUGAUGACGGUACCCUCAGAAUAAGCUCCGGCUAACUUCGUGCCAGCAGCCGCGGUAAUACGAAGGGAGCUAGCGUUGUUCGGAAUUACUGGGCGUAAAGGGCGCGUAGGCGGUUUGGUUAGUCAGAUGUGAAAGCCCAGGGCUUAACCCUGGAACUGCGUUUGAUACUGCCAAGCUUGAAUUCGGGAGAGGUGAGUGGAAUUCCCAGUGUAGAGGUGAAAUUCGUAGAUAUUGGGAAGAACACCGGUGGCGAAGGCGACGAUCUGGGCCUGCACUGACGCUCAGUCCCGAAAGCGUGGGGAGCAAAUAGGAUUAGAAACCCGGGUAGUCC
rnacentral:rRNA from 1 species